rnacentral:rRNA from 1 species
UACAGAGGGUGCGAGCGUUGUCCGGAAUUACUGGGCGUAAAGCGCGUGUAGGCGGCUAAGUAAGUCGGGCGUGAAAUCCCACGGCUCAACCGUGGAAGUGCACUCGAAACUGCAUAGCUAGAGUCCUGGAGAGGAAGGUGGAAUGCUUGGUGUAGAGGUGAAAUUCGUAGAUAUCAAGCGGAACACCGGUGGCGAAGGCGGCCUUCUGGACAGUGACUGACGCUGAGACGCGAAAGCGUGGGGAGCAAACAGG